rnacentral:rRNA from 1 species
UACGUAGGGUGCAAGCGUUAAUCGGAAUUACUGGCGUAAAGCGUGCGCAGGCGGCUUUGCAAGACAGAUGUGAAAUCCCCGGGCUUAACCUGGGAACUGCAUUUGUGACUGCACGGCUAGAGUGUGUCAGAGGGGGGUAGAAUUCCACGUGUAGCAGUGAAAUGCGUAGAUAUGUGGAGGAAUACCGAUGGCGAAGGCAGCCCCCUGGGAUAACACUGACGCUCAUGCACGAAAGCGUGGGGAGCAAACAGG